rnacentral:rRNA from 1 species
UACGUAGGGUGCAGGCGUUUAAUCGGAAUUACUGGGCGUAAAGCGUGCGCAGGCGGUUUGCUAAGACAGGUGUGAAAUCCCCCGGGCUUAACCUGGGAACUGCGCUUGUAACUGGCAAGCUAGAGUGUGGCAGAGGGGGGGUGGAAUUCCACGUGUAGCAGUGAAAUGCGUAGAGAUGUGGAGGAACACCGAUGGCGAAGGCAGCCCCCUGGGCUAACACUGACGCUCAUGCACGAAAGCGUGGGGAGCAAACAGG